rnacentral:misc_RNA from 1 species
GGAAGUAAAAGUCGUAAUAAGGUUUCCGUAGGUGAACCUGCGGAAGGAUCAUUAUCGUACCAAAUGUGUCAGGCAUGCUUGGGCUGUUGCUGACUCAAAAAGUCGUGCACGCUGGAGGGUGUCCUCUCACAUAAUAAUCCAUCUCACCCUUUGUGCGUCACCGCGUGGGCACCCUUUGGGAUCGGACCGAUCUCGGAAGGGGGCCCGCGUUUUCACACAAACCCCCCCAUCUAAAAGUGUAGAAUGUCCUCAUUUAUGCAAUAAAUACAACUUUCAACAACGGAUCUCUUGGCUCUC